UACAGAGGUCUCAAGCGUUUGUUCGGAUUCAUUGGGCGUAAAGGGUGCGUAGGCGGCGCGGUAAGUCGGGUGUGAAAUCUCGGAGCUUAACUCCGAAACUGCAUUCGAUACUGCCGUGCUUGAGGACUGGAGAGGAGACUGGAAUUUACGGUGUAGCGGUGAAAUGCGUAGAGAUCGGGAAGAACACCCGUGGCGAAGGCGGUGUGCUGGGUUGCAACUGACGCUGAGAUGCGAAAGUGUGGGGAGCAAACGGG
rnacentral:rRNA from 1 species